rnacentral:rRNA from 1 species
UACGUAGGGUGUAAGCGUUAUCCGGAAUUAUUGGGCGUAAAGAGCUCGUAGGCGGCUUGUCGCGUCGACUGUGAAAUCCCGCGGCUCAACUGCGGGUCUGCAGUCGAUACGGGCAGGCUAGAGUUCGGUAGGGGAGACUGGAAUUCCGUGGUGUAGCGGUGAAAUGCGUAGAGAAUCGGGAGGAACACCUGUGGCGAAGGCGCCGACUGGGCCGACCCUGACGCUGAGGCGCGACAGCGUGGGAGCAACG